UGUGGGUCAAGCUGUAUAAUUAAUUCAUAUAACUGUGGUGAGUUUGUUUGUUCAAACUACUUUCUUAAUAUAGUUACAUUUAAAAUGCACUCGUAUAUUGACCAGAAGUUUCAUUAUCGCCUGACUUCUCAGACUGAACGGAUUUAAAAACGGGAACUUUAAGAAAGCUGUAAGAUGAACGUUGGCCCAGAAUCGACUAAACUGGUGUGUCCCACUUGCCAGGUGACGAUUACGACUAAAACGACUCCAAGAUCUUCAAGUAGAACUCAUCUGAUUGCUAUUCUUAUGUGUGCAGUUGGCUGUUGUCUCUGUGCCCCAUUUCUGUAUUGCACCGAAUGCGCCCGAGACAUCGAUCACACUUGCCCCUCCUGCAACAACUAUAUUGGCACAUACAAACGCUGACAAUGCUGACAAUGAAAUAGUAAAUUAUGAGUGCUACCCAAAAAUUUAUCAAAGGUGAAGAGUUCACGCUGUUCUGAUCAAUUAUGUUUUCUAUGUUAGUUGCUUAAAUAAAAUGUUCUGGCUUCUCGCUUACUUUAAACAUUUUCAGAGUGAUUCAUUUAACACAAUAAGCAAAAACUUGCAAUAUGAGGUUCAGUUGAAGUUAAAGAUUAUUUCUAUAUAAUAUUGAAGUGUCACAGCAAACAUCUCUUAUAUUUUAUAAGAACAAAAAAAAAUACUUUUGUGGAUCACAGAUUCAGAUGAAUUUCAAUUUGUCAGCGUUAAUGUCCUGAGUAAUUAUUAAAAAUUUAAAAAUAUACGUAUUUAACUAA